rnacentral:lncRNA from 1 species
UGUGCCUCACAUGUAAUACAACAAUCUAUGACUAGUGUGAUCAUAUAGUGUAGGUCCUAUCUCAGGUUUUUAAAUAUCAUUUGGAAAUGGUGUGAGAAGAACAAGAAGGCAUUGGUAGGUCAAUUCAAGCAAAGACAAUAUGUGGUGAUAAUGUUUUGAGCCUACUGCACAAUCCUCAUUACUACAGUACUGUUUUGAAAAGUUAAUUUCGCACAGGCUUACAUUUUUUAAGUAAUGUAUUUUUUUUUAAAUCUGAGCAGUAGAUUUUGGGUUGCAAUUUGACUCAGAAAUGAUGAUGAUAAUGGUAUAUUUUCAUUUCCUUUCAUGUGUACUAUGGCAGCUUAAAGCUGAAUUGCAUGAAAGUAGUGAAUUUCAGGUUUUUCACUGUGGGAGGCCUGGGACCAAUUGUAGACAGUGCAUCCACAACACACCUUUAUUUGAAUCUUGGCCAUAGUACAUUUGUGAACUUAUCUGGAUAAUUACAUAAAGAUCAGAAGUAAGAUUUUAUUGUUAUUAAAACAACAUAUGUUUUCCAAGCAAGGAAUGAUGAUGAUAAUGGUAUAUUUGAAUUUAAUUUCAUGUGUACUAUGGCAGCUUAAAGCUGAAUUGCAGUAACACAUACAAGAAACACAUUUAGAUUAUUAAGACGUUCCCAUAAAAUCGAAAUGUUUAAAUGUUGAGGAAAAUACAGGCUACAACAGUAGCUAGAUCAGCUAGAUCAAGUCUGUCUGAGUACUUCUUGAAGCUUCCAGAUGGGCAGCCACGGUCAUGAGAGGAUCUGGAAGCUCAUAGGUAGAUGGUCAGCAGAGAUGGUGGUCGGAGGUGGUGGCAGGCAGGCAGGCAGGCAGGCAGCUCCAUGUCAUCCAAGCCUCUCUGCUGUCUUCCCUAUAUUGAGACUCUGUGGUGAAGUUUGCUCCCCAAAGAGUACAGCUCACUCAGUCCUUACUUCAGAAGUAUCCUCCUGAGCAAUGAAACCCCUGGCACACUGCCAACUCUACUUACAUAGCUUCCUCUUGGGUCGCUGUUGUUGGGAAAACAACCCAAAGUCAGUAGGUGUA